rnacentral:tRNA from 1 species
GUUCCCGUAGCUCAGUAGGAUAGAGCGGUCGCCUCCUAAGCGACAGGUCGGAUGUUCGAAUCAUCUCGGGAACGCCA